AAGACAUUUUGACAUGGUUAGUUUAUAUUUAGCAAUCUUAAAAAUUGACAUCAAUUAAAUGAAAUUAAGUGCAGUAAAAAUAUCUAGAACAAUAUGUUAUCUUAUUUUUGGGCGUGUCAUUCGGUCAUGAGUUAUCUUUUUGAAAUGAAGUGCACUACAAAGGUGUCGCCGCGGUUUGUCUAUUUAAUUUUGCGCUCGCACGUUCGGUUUGGAUUUGUUGACACGGCGGGAAUUUUUUACGGUGGUUUCGGUUAAAUUUUUCUUCGUAAUUCUAUUGUUUUGAAACCUAUGGUUAUGGGCCCGUUAAUAAUCAAAAAACAUGCCAAGUUUUUACUAGGCAUUCUAAACACACAUUGACAACUAUCCAAUCGGAGAUGAAAGGCGCCUCCGUUAGUAUAGCGUUGUACGUUAGAGACGACUACCUAUAGUAAAUCGGAUUGAACAUCACUAUACCAGUGAAUUUUUUCACCGGAUUAUAGUCUGUUGAAAAAAUAUUUCCCUUUCCAUAUCGUGUAUUGAAACAAUUACAUUAUCGAUGUAAACGAUUUAUCCGAAUCGCCGUAAAAACCUCAUGUCUAAUAUCUAAACAAAAUUAAUGUUGACAAACUGCGGACCGCCCAAAGUGCGUUUAUUUCAUUUAGAUACAUAUCACGUUGGUCAAUGAAGGAAAACAGUGUCCCUGUUUUGUUUGAAAUCAUUGGGUUGAAUUUGUAAAAUUUAUAAAUAACUUUUUGAAUUAAAAAUAGGAUAUUUUUAAUUUCAUUGGUUAUUUUAAGAAAUAUUAUAAUGACUUAAUGAACUCAAACAAAAUAGGGCCGUUGUUUUCCUUCAUUUGACCAAGUAUUUUUUUUUUUUUUAAAUAGCAAUUCCAUGAGUGCAUCCAUCACUAUUUUAUAUUACUCUCAUUGGAUUCUAUCUUAAGUCAAGUAUGCGAAAGUGAAAAGGCCAUACAAUCGUUUUUACAGAAAAUGGCAAAUACAUUUAGAACUGUGGCCAGACGCAAAAAACGGAACUAAUCUGUGAGUUUUUCAUUCAAAUUUAGUUGUAUUUUCUAUCCGUUUACACGGUUUGACCCUUUUUUUGUGUGUGUGUGUGUUAUUUGUUUACGAUUUUUUGACAUGGUAAAGUUUUUUGGUCGUUUUCGAUUAAUUUUUAACCUAGUUUUCUUAGUUUUUACGACUAUGAUUAUGGGUCCAUAUAAAUUCAAAAAAUAUGCCAAGUAUUUACUAAGCAUUCUAUUUUAAAUUGUCAAAUAUACAUCGGAAAUGAAUGGAGCUUCCGUUAUUAUAUCUCUUUAUAUGUUAGAAUAUGUUAGGAUAUGUUAGAAGUGACUUAAUAUUGUAAAUUGUACAUCUCUGCAUUUGUUUAUUGUUUUAGACAAUUUUAGUUUUUUAAAAAAAUAUGUUUCCAUUUUCAUGUAGUAUUGAAAAAUUUCCAUAUGGAUGAUAUCGAUGAAUACAUUUUACCGUUAAAACCUUAUGUUUAAUUUUUAAAAUUAAAUUAACCUUGAAAAACUGUGGACUGCCUAAACUUCAUUAAUUGCUCUUAGAAACGUAUCACACUGGUUUCUGUAAAAAAACGAAGACCCUGGUUUAUUCAAAUCAUUUAUUUUAAGAAUUCUUUAUGAUAAUUUAUGAAUUCUUCUCUUUCAAUAACUUUAUAAAUAGAAAUUUUUUUUUUUUAUCGGUGUUAUUGGUUAUUUAUAACAGAAUAAGUAAACGAUUAUAACUGAAAUCAUAAAUAAAAUGGAAUUGUAAUUAAUAUAUCAGUCUUAGGAGUAUUUUGUGCCACUUUGUAAAAUUAAACAGUUUUGUCACAAAAUUGUAUAUAAUUAUCUUUUCACUUUGCCUAUAAAUAAUAUUUUUUAUGAUAAUUUUUUAUUUAUUCUUUAAUUUUUUUUUACAGAUUUAUAUUGUUUUAUAUUUUUUGUGGUUUGCAGAUUGAUGUUUGUGGCUCCGAUAACUACAUCAACUUGUCAGCUGUUAGUCUGGUAUCAAAAAGUUAAAGACUUUACUACUUGCAGUUAUAGUGAAUUUUUAAAUCUGCUCACAGUUAAAUUGUAUUACCUGAUAAUCAACCGCUAAAUUUUGUAUCUUUCAUUAUAAUUAUAUAGAUAUGUUUUCACUUACAAUCAGUCAAUGGAAGAAUCACUUACUAUUACUUUGGUUUUAUUACUUUACAAUGAUUUUUAACUUAAAUAAUAAUAAUAAUAAUAAUAGUUUUUAAAUUGCAAUUUUUGCUAUUUUCUAUUUUGUUAUAAAUGAUAAUUAUUCACUGAAAUGUCAAAUAAUUAAUUUUUUUGUAUAUUUGGGAGAUUUGAAACUCUUAACAUAAUAAGAGUUUCUUAUACUUAUAAAUAUAAGAACAUUGUUUAAAAGAUGACUUAGAGUGUAUAAACUAGAGCGUUAAUUUAUAUUUUUGUAACUACUCAGUUUUGGUAUACUAGCAUAUUUAGGUUACUUAUAAGUUACUUAUAAUAUCGCUUUUGAUUUAAUUACAUAUUAAUAAAAAGACAAACAUAUGAAUUUAAAUUACAAAAAAAAUUUAAAAAAGAUGGACUUACUUCGCAAAUGGGUGCAGCAACUGUUGUAAAUGGGCAGUUGAGAACUGGUUAAUAAGGUAGGAUACAGACUGUUGCUAACGAAAGUUGAUUCUGACCGGAGUUCAGUUGAUAUUGUUGAUUUAUCAACAAUAUAUAUAUAUGUCAUAUCAUGGUAAAAUUAUUACAAUGUGCAAUAUUCAUGACAAUAAUCCAUGACAAUAAUGAUUAUUUAAAAAAGAUUAUAAUAUUAAAAACUUAAUAAUAACAAAAAAUAAAUAAAAACGGUUGC
rnacentral:lncRNA from 1 species